rnacentral:rRNA from 1 species
CCGCGUGGGGGAUGACGGCCUUCGGGUUGUAAACCUCUUUUCAGCACAGACGAAGCGUAAGUGACGGUAUGUGCAGAAGAAGCACCGGCCAACUACGUGCCAGCAGCCGCGGUAAUACGUAGGGUGCGAGCGUUGUCCGGAAUUACUGGGCGUAAAGAGCUCGUAGGUGGUUUGUCGCGUUGUUCGUGAAAACUCACAGCUUAACUGUGGGCGUGCGGGCGAUACGGGCAGACUGGAGUACUGCAGGGGAGACUGGAAUUCCUGGUGUAGCGGUGGAAUGCGCAGAUAUCAGGAGGAACACCGGUGGCGAAGGCGGGUCUCUGGGCAGUAACUGACGCUGAGGAGCGAAAGCGUGGGGAGCGAACAGGAUUAGAUACCCUGGUAGUCCACGCCGUAAACGGUGGGUACUAGGUGUGGGUUUCCUUCCUUGGGAUCCGUGCCGUAGCUAACGCAUUAAGUACCCCGCCUGGGGAGUACGGCCGCAAGGCUAAAACUCAAAGGAAUUGACGGGGGCCCGCACAAGCGGCGGAGCAUGUGGAUUAAUUCGAUGCAACGCGAAGAACC